GCCUUUCUGGCGUAGUGGUCUGCGCGCCUCGCUGAAAACGAGGAGGUCACGGCUCGAUUCCGUGGGAAGGCG
rnacentral:tRNA from 1 species